rfam:Schistosoma mattheei strain Denwood, Zambia genome assembly, scaffold: SMTD_scaffold0012083
ACCUUGCUGACGUGUGCCAAGUAGCACGAAACCCGGGUCCAAGGU